UUGAUUUUAGUUAUUUGUGAACGUACUACGAACAAACAAAAAAAAUAUUAUAGUCAAAAAAAAUUAAAUCAAAACUUUUAACAAUGGAUCUCUUGGUUCUCGUAUCGAUGAAGAACGCAGCGAAAUGCGAUAAGUAAUUUGAAUUGCAGAAUUCAGUGAAUCAUCGAAUCUUUGAACGCACAUUGCGCCCAUUAGUAUUCUAGUGGGCAUGCCUGUCCGAGCGUCAUUUCAACCCCUAAGCACAGCUUAUUGUUGGGAACCUACGGCUUCGUAGUUCCUCAAAGACAUUGGCGGAGUGGCAGUGGUCCUCUGAGCGUAGUAAUCUUUUAUCUCGCUUCUGUUAGGUGCUGCCCCCCCGGCCGUAAAACCCCCAAUUUUUUCUGGUUGACCUCGGAUCAGGUAGGAAUACCCGCUGAACUUAAGCAUAUCAAUAAGCGGAGGAAUCGUACGCUUGGUCAUUUAGAGGAAGUAAAAGUCGUAACAAGGUUUCCGUAGGUGAACCUGCGGAAGGAUCAUUAAAAGAUAUAGCAUAUUCUUCUGAAUAUACUUUAUUAACCCAUUCCGAGUACCUUACCCGUUGCUUCCGCGAGGCUGUCCUCACGGCCCUCUGAAGAUUUAUCUUUGGGGAGUCCUUGCGGAAGGUAUACAAUAAACUCUUGCAUUACCAUGUCAUCUGUCUGAAUCUGUUUAAAACAAAUAUUA
rnacentral:misc_RNA from 1 species